rnacentral:rRNA from 1 species
AAGUCGUAACAAGGUUUCCGUAGGUGAACCUGCGGAAGGAUCAUUACCGAACUGUCAACACGAGUUGUUGCUGGUCCUCGAAUGGGGACAUGUGCACGCUCUGUUUGCACAUCCACUCACACCUGUGCACCCUCCAUAGUUCUGCAGCCUGGGGGCUCUGUCCCCCUGCCGUGGUUCUAUGUAUUUACACACACACCGUAGUAAAGUCUCAUGGAAUGCAUACCGCGUUUAACGCAAUACAAUACAACUUUCAGCAACGGAUCUCUUGGCUCUCGCAUCGAUGAAGAACGCAGCGAAAUGCGAUAAGUAAUGUGAAUUGCAGAAUUCAGUGAAUCAUCGAAUCUUUGAACGCACCUUGCGCCCUUUGGCUAUUCCGAAGGGCAUGCCUGUUUGAGUAUCAUGAACACCUCAACUCUCAUGGCUUGCCAUGAUGAGCUUGGACUUUUGGGGGUCUUGCUGGCCUGUGGUCAGCUCCUCUCAAAUGAAUUAGCCUGCCAGUGUUUGGUGGCAUCACAGGUGUGAUAACUAUCUACGCUUGUGGUUUUCCACCAGGUAACCUUCAGUGAUGAAGGUUCGCUGGGGCUCAUAAACGUCCCUCCUCAGUGAGGACAGCUCUUUGAACGUUUGAUCUCAAAUCAGGUAGGACUACCCGCUGAACUUAAGCAUAUCAAUAAGCGGAGGAAAGAAACUAACAAGGAUUCCCCUAGUAACUGCGAGUGAAGCGGGAAGAGCUCAAAUUUAAAAUCUGGCGUGCCUCUGGUCGUCCGAGUUGUAGUCUGGAGAAGCGUUUUCCGUGUUGGACCGUGUAUAAGUCUCUUGGAACAGGGCGUCAUAGAGGGUGAGAAUCCCGUCUUUGACACGGACUACCAAUGCUUUGUGAUGUGCUCUCAAAGAGUCGAGUUGUUUGGGAAUGCAGCUCAAAAUGGGUGGUAAAUUCCAUCUAAAGCUAAAUAUAGGCGAGAGACCGAUAGCGAACAAGUACCGUGAGGGAAAGAUGAAAAGCACUUUGGAAAGAGAGUUAAACAGUACGUGAAAUUGCUGAAAGGGAAACGCUUGAAGUCAGUCACGUCUGCCAGGACUCAGCCUUGCUUCUGCUUGGUGCACUUUCUGGUUUGAUGGGCCAACAUCAAUUUCAACCGUUGGAGAAAGGCUUUGGGAAUGUGGCACCUUUGGGUGUGUUAUAGCCCUUUGUUGUAUACAACGGUUGGGAUUGAGGACCGCAGCACGCCUUCAUGGCCGGGGUUCGCCCACGUACGUGCUUAGGAUGUUGGCAUAAUGGCUUUAAGCGACC